GGCGCGGUAGCUCAGGGGUUAGAGCGGGCGUUUCAUAAGCGCUAGGUCGGAGGUUCAAAUCCUCCCCGCGCCA
rnacentral:tRNA from 1 species